rnacentral:rRNA from 1 species
GACGAACGCUGGCGGCGUGCCUAAUACAUGCAAGUCGAACGCAGUGGGGACGGGUUAUUAACACGUGGGUAACCUCCCAUCAGAGGGGAUAACACUUGGAAACAGGUGCUAAACCGAUACUGAUGGAUGGACCCGCUGUGCAUUAGCUAGUUGGUGAGGUAACGGCUCACCAAGGCCAAGAUGCAUAGCCGGCCGGGAAGGGGGAUCGGCAAAAACGGGACUGGGAAACGGCCCAGACUCAUACGGGAGGCAGCAGUAGGGAAACUUCGGACAUGGGGGGAAGUCUGACCGAGCAACGCCGCGGGAGUGAAGAAGGUUUUCGGAUCGGAAAGCUAUGUUGUAAGAGAAGCGGUAUCUUACCAGAAAGGAACGGCUAACUACGUGCCAGCAGCCGCGGUAAUAC